rnacentral:rRNA from 1 species
UUGUUCGGAAUUACUGGGCGUAAAGGGCGCGUAGGCGGUCUGCUAAGUUGGAUGUGAAAACUCUGGGCUUAACCCAGAGCCUGCAUUCAAUACUGACAGGCUAGAGUUCUGGAGGGGAUAGCGGAAUUCCUGGUGUAGCGGUGAAAUGCGUAGAUAUCAGGAGGAACACCGGUGGCGAAGGCAGCUCGCUGGGACGGUACUGACGCUGAGACGCGAAAGCGUGGGGAGCAAACAGG